UACGGUGGGGGCAAGCGUUGUUCGGAAUUACUGGGCGUAAAGGGCCAGUAGGCGGCCAACUAAGUCCGACGUGAAAUCCCAAGGCUUAACCUUGGAACUGCGUCGGAUACUGGAUGGCUUGAAUUCGGGAGAGGGAUGCAGAAUUCCAGGUGUAGCGGUGAAAUGCGUAGAUAUCUGGAGGAAUACCGGUGGCGAAGGCGGCAUCCUGGACCGACAUUGACGCUGAACGGCGAAAGCUAGGGGAGCAAACGGG
rnacentral:rRNA from 1 species